GUAACUGUGCACUGAGUUUAUCAAUGUAUGUAGAGACACCUGGUGGUAGUAAUGCCUUACUAGGUUAUUAACCCUACAGCUCAGUUGGUGGAAAUCUUGGGAAAAAAAGAUUACCUCAGGACGUGCUAUGGAACUGUGCACUGAGUUUAUCAAUGUAUGUAGAGACACCUGGUGGUAGUAAUGCCUUACUAGGUUAUUAACCCUACAGCUCAGUUGGUAGAAAUUUUGGGAAAAAAAGAUUACCUCAGGACGUGCUAUGGAACUGUGUGCUGAGUUUAUCAAUGUAUGUAGAGACACCUGGUGGUAGAGCUAAAGGAUUCUUUGCAACAAUGUAAUUUGUGAAUAUUAAAGCAUUCCAGGAACAUUGAUUUACAUUUUUUACCAUUAAAUAGUUCAUUGUUUUAAGUUAACCUUCGAUAAUUGUUUUGUUGUCUGAAUCAAAUGUGGAUAUCUUGUUCUGUUGUAGCUUCUGACUGGACUGCUCUCUAAAAGUGGCACUGAGAGACAAGACAGCAAGUUAUCUGGUGACAACUGUAACUGUAGCGUGAAGUAUAGCAAGCUUUUUAAGGAAUUCAAAGAACGGCUGGAAAACGAACACAAGGAAGAGAAAGAUCAAGCAGUAAGGGAGUUGGCAGAGAAACUACGGGCAGAAUUUGAAGAGGAGAAACAAACCUCUAUAAAAGUAGCAUUUGAAAAGCUUCAAAAGGAGGUGGAAAAGGCUCGGCAGAAAGCAGAGGAACAACUCUGUUACAGGCACGAGGAAGAAGUACAUCAGCUUGUUGAACGCCAGGAGCAAGAAAUCUCCGAGAUAAAGAAAAAACAGUGGUGUUACAAUUGUGAAGCGGAAGCAAUCUACCACUGUUGCUGGAAUGUUUCGUACUGUAGUCUAGAAUGUCAACAGGUACACUGGCACAAGGAACACAAACGAACUUGUCGACGAAAGCGGCUGUGAAACGUUGAAUGUUUCGUACUGUAGUCUAGAAUGUCAACAGGUACACUGGCACAAGGAACACAAACGAACUUGUCGACGAAAGCGGCUGUGAAACGUUGAAU